AUUGAACGCUGGCGGCAUGCCUAACACAUGCAAGUCGAACGAGUGGCGGACGGGUGAGUAAUGUCUGGGAAACUGCCUGAUGGAGGGGUAUAACUACUGGAAACGGUAUCUAAUACCGCAUCCCAUCGGAUGUGCCCAGAUGGGAUUAGCUAGUCGGUGGGGUAAAGGCUCACCUAGGCGACGAUCCCUAGCUGGUCUGAGAGGGUGACCAGCCACACUGGAACUGAGACACGGUCCAGACUCCGACGGGAGGGAGCAGUGGGGAAUAUUGCACAAUGGGCGCAAGCCUGAGACAGCCAUGCCGCGUGUAUGAAGAAGGCCUUCGGGUUGUAAAGUACUUUCAGCGGGGAGGCGUUACCCGCAGAAGAAGCACCGGCUAACUCCGUGCCAGCAGCCGCGGUAAUAC
rnacentral:rRNA from 1 species